CUUUGCUUGAGCUGGAAGGAAAUAUGGUUCAUGGGAUCCAGUUACCUCAUGCACUGAAAGUAAGCAGAGAAAGUUGCCCGGGAGGACCCGACAAGCUCUGCCUCCUGGUUUUCCAGGGCCCUUGCUGGAGGAAGGAAUGGGCAGAGCCCGGGAAUACUCUCAAGUGAACACCCUGCUCAUGGAAUCCAUUGGAAAAUCAGCUCACUGUAAUAAUGGAGGCAUUGAUGAUAGUGGUGGUAAUGGUGAUGAUUAAGUUUCAGACUGGUGGUCUCCAUGACUAUGAGAUAUGCAUGACUAUGCAUACUGAGUUCCAGGAGAGAGAGAAAUCAGGCUGAGCAAGUCAUAGUGCACAAGCCAGUACACAGCACUCAUCCAUGGUCUCUGCUUCAGUUCCUGCCUCAGGUUCCUGCCUUGAGUUUCUGCCUUG